CGCACUCGCGCAGCCCAUCUCUCUUCCUCCCGUCACCCCCCUCCUGCCUACUCUCUCGAUCCCCACUGUUGCCGCCUCGGUCGCCGGCCGAUUCCGGCCGCUCCGGCGAGCUUUGGCGCCACCCAACACAAACACAGCUGCUCCUGGAUGAGCUCUACUAGCUUCACCGCAUCGAUCUACUUGUCCUCACCUCAUGCGGUCGCCCCCAUCGAUUUCCCUCGCUAGGGUUUCGAUGGUGGGGGUGGACCUCGCCUCCGGCGGCCGGCUGCUCCUCCUCCUCGAUUCGACUCCGUCCGCCGGGGUCGUGAACCCAUGCGGCCGCAACGGGGUGGGCAUGUGCGUCCGCGGGUUCGCACCGCUGUGGCCGGAGGCGUCGGCGCCGCGGGUUAACCGCGUCGGGGUGGAUGGGCGCCUCAUGCCGCGGUCGUCGGAUCCGUCGACUGCGAGUCCGGCUCCGGCACCUGGCGGCCUGGCGAGGCAGGCGGGGGAGCGGGGAGGGGAGGGGUGAGGGUGGCGAGGCCCUCACGCACCGCGAUGGGCCUCGACUUCGACGGCGUCUUCUACGACAGCUACGGCCAGAGCUCCCUCUCCGCCAUCAAGGCCGCCAAGGUGAGGUGGUCGUGGGUGUUUGAGCAGGUCGCCGCCGCCAUGGAGGAGUGGAUGGUGGAGCAGAUGCACCCGGUGUUUGUGGCGAAGCCGACACCAGAGGCCACCCAGAGGCAAAGCCACAGCCGCACCUGAGCUCCCUCAGCUCCGGCCACUAUAGUUGGUGGACAAGGGUUGCUCCUACCUUUGAUGUUUUGGGCGGAUCUGUGCUUCGGUUCUCUAGGUGUACCUUUCUCUAUUUCCUGUUCAUCUAUUGUUCCAUAUGAUCUGCACAUGUCCCAUGGACGUCGCUCUGUCUUGUUCAUAGCAUAGUUGCUUUUGUUUUAUUCCUGUCGUGGAGAUGGGCAGACCUUGACGUUUCCUUGUUGUAUCUACAAAGGAAUUUUUGUUGCCUUCCUUAGCUUGUUGGCUACCUAUUUUUUUUCCCUGUCAAGAAGACAGAUUUGGCCCAAGAUUGUGUCCUUGCUCUCUGGAAAUGAAGUUUUGUUCUCACCCAGGGUUGGUCCUACCUAUAUUCUGUCUGUAUGUAGUUCCAGCAAUUCUAUACUUUUUCCUGCUAAUUUCUAAUUCAAAGCAUGUACAGUCAUGCUCAAACCUACACCUGCUGCUCACUUUAUGGGCAUGGAUCAACCCCUCUUCUCCUCCUUUCCCCUCUUCUUUACAGACCUAGGUGUAGGAUUGUAUGGCAAUAUGCAUUUUUGGCCUCGCUCUGUUCUGCUUGUCGGUCAUGUCUUUUCUGGUAAAAGCCAAAAGUAUUUUUGCCUUUGUGCAUUGGAUGUUUGUAGUUUCCUUUCUUCGGUGCUUGUUUUAGUGGAGUCUAGAUAUAUGUCUUUUGUUCCUUGUCUUCAUACUGGUAGGGCCUAUGAUUGUUGGUCCUUUCACCUUUGUGCAUGGAAUGUUGGUGGUUUUGUUCAUUUGCUUAUUUUAUUUAUUGUUUCUUUUUACUGUGCUCCUAUGGUUUCAACAAUAACUGAGGCAAGGGUGCCAUGAUCUGAGUUUCCAAAUCUUGAGUAGCAAUUAUGGUUUAAUCAAUAUUUGCAUUAGUGAGGAGCCGGGGUGGCCACACAAGCAGAAUGGCCACACAAGGUGUUUUUCUCAAUCAGAUCACAUGCAUCUCUUAAAAAUUAUACAAUAGCAAGUAUGAUUUAUAGGUUAUUAGAUAUUAUCGGUCUAUGCUUCAUGUGGUGGUGGUGUUCUUACAUCUAGAUCUAUGGACAAGGUCAGUUGCUCCUAUCUGGACAAGCAGCAGCUGCUGCUACUGCUUUGUCAGGGCAAGGGUCAAUAAAACUCAGGUUAUUCCUCGAUCCAUAAUUCUGUCAUCUAUAGUCAGGCUAUCACUUUAGUCUUUUUUGCCUUUCUCUGACAGGUCAAUUGAUGUUGGGCACCAAUCUUGCUCCUAUUUGGGUGGGCUACAGCUUUGUCAGGCUGCCAUCAUAUUCUGAUCUUCCAGUGUUCCUUCUGCGGUGUGGAGGAGGUGUGAAAGUAGAUCGUGGUGACGAUUGUGCCAUUACAUGUUAUUAUUGUUCAUAUCUUAUCAUUAGAAAUAGACAUGUUAUAAGGAAGAUGUUACCGAUAUGUUUCUUUCAUGGUCAAUGAUUGUCUUGCUUUUCUGUGUCACAUUACUUAUACCUGUUGUUUUCUAAAAUUAUUGCAUGGUAGCUAGCUAAUCUCUAUGAUAAUAGCAUCUGAGAUUCCAAAGGGUAUUUAAUUUUAUUUCAGACCAUGAUAGCAUUCCUUACCCGUUGUCACCUUCCUUCUCUAUCGUUUGCAUGAUAGCUAGCUUCAAAAUGAUUGGCACAUUUAUUAACCAUUUCAUCUUUUUUGUGCAUUGCAGAUUUGCUACUAAAUUCAAAAAAAAUAGUGUUCUUUUGCAUCACCAUCCUAUGGAGCCAUGAGAUCUGAACCAAUGAAUACAGAGAACAUUAACUAUGUUUAUGGAUCACUACAUGUUCUAUUGGAACAAGGGCCAAUGCUUCCGGUGCCGAGAACGUGGCCAAGGGGAUCAUGUGGUGCGGGGUGAUGACCGUGGACAGGCUCCGCUGGCGGAACGAGGUGCUCCGAAAGAGGAUUCAAACCAGCGAUAAUGAGGCCGAGGUCUGCCCAGAGAUGCUCAGGUGUAUCAAAAGGUUUCCUUGUGCUUAAUUACACGCCGCAGCGGCGACCAAGAAGCGCGUGGCCCAGCUGACCAACAAGGCCAGGAACGUGGCCGCCGGCGACAAGGAGCCCGGGUUUAAGUAUCUUUGCUGGGUGUCGAUGGUGGUGUUUAUGCCAAAUAAAGUCGGUUGCUGCAAGUCUUGCAAGAAAUUUGGGUGACAAGGCGUCUGGAUGGAACUAUCUAUCCGUCUAUCUAUCUAUCUAAUAUAGUUUACUACUAUACCAUGUAAAAUUAGUGUCUCCACUACCACUAUGGCUUGGUGUGGUCAUGCUAUGAUGUUAGCGGAUACGAAUGUUUAGUGAUGUGUUGAUUCAGGAAAUUCGCAUUUGGUUCAGCAUGUAGUUGGGCUGUAUGCUCUUAGGAGAUAAUGUUCUGUGAAUUCUUUUCCAACUGUUAUUGCCACAAAAUUGAAAUUUGGUAUUGACAUUAUGAAGAUUACCUUAAGUGUGAAA